GCUAACCUAUGAGAAAUCUGAAUUUGUACUGAAUUUUGUGCAUAAGUAUACACGAGCAGUACAACAAAUGCAACUUCAUCUAUAGAUAGACAUGUUUUCAUUGAUCAGUUUGUUCAGUAGAUUUGGCACAAACGAAGUGUCAAAAUAUAUCCGAAUCGGUUGCUUGUACUAUUGCUUAUGACUUCCAUCACGUAUCCAGUUCCAUGGCACUUGUAAACCUGUUUGUCAAGAAAAAGGAAAUUCAGAUGAUGAGUCUUUAUUACAAAGAAAACAAGAGACAAAAAAAAAAUCCAAGCAUGCCGAAUUCAAGAUUACCUUGUUUAGGGGUCUUGGAAUGGGGCCAUGUGCCUGCUCCUG
rnacentral:lncRNA from 1 species